rnacentral:rRNA from 1 species
UACAGAGGGGGCAAGCGUUGUUCGGAAUUACUGGGCGUAAAGGGCGCGUAGGCGGCCUGUUAAGUCGAACGUGAAAUCCCCGGGCUCAACCCGGGAACUGCGUCCGAUACUGGCAGGCUUGAAUUCGGGAGAGGGAUGUGGAAUUCCAGGUGUAGCGGUGAAAUGCGUAGAUAUCUGGAGGAACACCGGUGGCGAAGGCGGCAUCCUGGACCGGUAUUGACGCUGAUGCGCGAAAGCCAGGGGAGCAAACGGG